rnacentral:rRNA from 1 species
GAUGAACGCUAGCGGGAGGCUUAACACAUGCAAGUCGAACGAGACCCCUGACUUCGGUUGGCGGGUCUAGUGGCGCACGGGUGCGUAACGCGUGGGAAUCUGCCCUUGGGUUCGGAAUAACUCAGAGAAAUUUGAGCUAAUACCGGAUGAUGACGAAAGUCCAAAGAUUUAUCGCCCAGGGAUGAGCCCGCGUAAGAUUAGCUUGUUGGUGGGGUAAUGGCCUACCAAGGCGACGAUCUUUAGCUGGUCUGAGAGGAUGAUCAGCCACACUGGGACUGAGACACGGCCCAGACUCCUACGGGAGGCAGCAGUGGGGAAUAUUGGACAAUGGGCGCAAGCCUGAUCCAGCAAUGCCGCGUGAGUGAUGAAGGCCUUAGGGUUGUAAAGCUCUUUUACCAGGGAUGAUAAUGACAGUACCUGGAGAAUAAGCUCCGGCUAACUCCGUG